GCAACUAUCAAGUGCAUCCACAAACACUUCUUUUUAGGCUCUAAGCAAUUAAAUCAUUGAAUGAUUGGGCUUCUGGUGACCCAUCUUCCCUCUGUUUUGAACUAGCUCUCCCUGGCAUCUGAUGACCAACCAACUGCUGGUUCACAGACAAAAUUGCCAUUGCCAUACAACAGCAUACCCAUUAAGGGAUCAAAAGAGAAUAGAUGGACUUCCCUCCAGCAAGAACACGAGAUAAAACUAGUAGUGAAACAAAAACUAACCUCCUUUGGAGGGAAGCAGAUUCCAAGCGGCCCUGAUGGGAGAAAGGAAGCUGGUCCUGUUUCUGGGAUUAACAGGGGUAUGGGCAUUCGCUAAGAGUAAAAAAGCGAUUUUUUCUCAUAUGAUAUUCGUGGUGGCCGUCAACCUUCAACCUCUUCCAUUCUAAUGAAGUUGCAAGGUCAAUAUUGGAUAUUGACAAGUACA